UUGGAGGGCAAGUCUGGUGCCAGCAGCCGCGGUAAUUCCAGCUCCAAUAGCGUAUAUUAAAGUUGUUGUGGUUAAAAAGCUCGUAGUUGAACCUUGGGCCUGGCUGGCCGGUCCGCCUCACCGCGUGCACUGGUCCGGCCGGGCCUUUCCCUCUGCGGAACCCCAUGCCCUUCACUGGGUGUGGCGGGGAAACAGGACUUUUACUUUGAAAAAAUUAGAGUGCUCAAGGCAGGCCUAUGCUCGAAUACAUUAGCAUGGAAUAGUAGAAUAGGA
rnacentral:rRNA from 1 species